AGUAAAAAGGAGAAGUUUGGCGUUUCCUUGACUUGAAAUAAUAUACAGUUUGCUUGAAGGUCUUGUUAUCUUGUUAUCGAUCUACAUCUUAAUAUGCUGUUUGUGUUCAUCUAAAUCUAAUAGCUAUCUUGAUUUUUAUACUUGGCAGAAUUUGCUUCUUCUGCCGUAGAUUUUCUGCAUAGUGGGUCGCACAGCUAGAGCAGGUCAACCUGGCCUUGUUACUGUUAGAAUUAAAUGAAAAAUAUUGAAUAGAAGUCUCUUCAUAUGUUGUAACUCAAGUAACUCAAGUCCCUUCAUGUUUUUAACUCCUUUAUCAAUGAAUGGUUUAACUCCUUGAUUAAUGAGCUAGCUUUUCUUCCAUUGGUAUAAAUAGGAGUCUCUCUAGAUUGGAAAAUCAUAAGUGAAAUGCAAGCUUCUUCCUCUAAGCAACAAUAUUCUUUUUCUCACUUUCAAGUUCUUCCUUGUGCUUAUAAUUUCUUUGUGAGAUAGAGUAUAUCACAGCUAGUUCGCAGGCGAUUAACGUAGUGCAACGUGAACCAACAACCAAUUGUAUCCUGGGAAUCGAACACCGAUCAAAACCUCUUGCACUCUGGGGAGGCGGCGAAUUCGAUUUAAGAAAACUGUGAAUACACAGGCCUUCGGUUUGAUUUGAUUCUCUAAAAUUUACCUACAGUUACCAGCAUGUAUACAGAAGCAAACCGUGAUCUCAUUUCUGCAGUUCGUCAGGUUGAGAAGCUGGGUCCGACCAUGGAGAAGUCUUUCAGCAGAAAAAGGAGCUUUCGGAAUAAGCUUAAGAAGAGAAGUGCAUCUAACAACGAACUAGUCUUCUUUUCCUAUUCAAGCACAUCAUAUGCAAUUUAGCAUAGAUACGAACUCACACGAGCUCGUGUUAGACAAGUUCCUGAAAGAAAUAAUGUCGGUGCUGAAUUGUGUGCCGUAGAAGAGAGUAUACGAUUAGUGAAGAGUAUAUAUUUUCAUGCAGCUCCUUAAAAUCAUUGUUCCUUUUCUUAGCAGGUUUCAGUAAACGCAGUGAUGCACCAUCAGUUCCCUUGGGAGUUACAGCAUGAUUGUUUGGUGUAUAGAAAGGCAAAUUUUCAGUAAAGCUGGUGUCCAAGGCUCCUGCUGAGUUAAUUGUUCCAAUAAUCACUGAAUUUAGGUUCAUGUCUUUGAUUGGUUAUUUAAAUUUAAAAUAUCGAGUUUUGGUCACUUAAUCUAGGCCUUUGAUUGCUCACUGAACUUACCUCCAUGUUUUAUAUUGCUCACUGAAGCUUAAAAUGUCGUAUUUUGGCCACUGAACUUUGGAAUAUGUCGUACGCUACUCAUUAGCAUAAUUGUUAAAUUUUGAAAAAUAUUGAGUUUACAAUGAGUAAUAUAUAAUAUUUUUCAAAGUUCAAUGAGUAAUGUAUAAUAUGUUUCAAAGUUUAGUGGUCAAAAUUCGACAUUUUAAAUUUCAGCGAGCAAUCGAAGUCAUGGAACUAAGUUUAGUGACUAAAACUCGCAUUUUAAACUUCAGCGAUUAAUCAAAGACAUGGGCCUACGUUAACAAUUGACUUGCUCCUGGUACAUAGCUUUGUCAAGUUCGAUGCGUGACCCGUGUAAUCGUAUAUUAUUUGUUCUUGGGAAGUUACUCUCAACCAGCAGGAGGAAAGUAGGUUUACUUAUUCGUUUGUGUAUAAAGUAUGAGAAAAACACCCCAAGUAAAAUUGCAUAAAAGGGAAAAUUAUAUUGCAAACUGAAUUCAAAAUGCAAUGUUAAUUUAAGCAUAUUAUUGCGUUGGGUAGCAUGUUGACCUAGAUUUUA